AACACUACAUACUAAAAUUUUGUGCUAUGAAGCUAAAACAGUACUAAGAAAGAAUGUUGUAAUUUUUGGAUAUAUAUUUCCAAUAUAUUGGAAAGGAUAAAACUUUAAAAUCAAUGAUCCCAGCUCAAAAAGCAAAAAAGAACAAAUUAGUAGGAGGAAGAAAAUAAGAGAAAUAGUCAUUGAAAUAGAAAAGACAGAAAAAAAAAACACCUCUUAAUACUGUUACAGUGGUAAUUAAGUUUCUAACAUGCUUUCUGGGGGACACAUCGAAACCAUAGCAGCAGUUAAAGCAUUUGAUAAAAUUCAACAUCUUUCAUAAUAAAAACUCUAAGCAAACUAAAUUAAAAGAGAACUUCUGCUGGUCCAAGCGCGGUAGUGUUUACAACUAAUUAAUCACAAUCAGUUACAGGUUUCUUUGGUCAUUCUCCACUCCCACUGCUUCACUUGACUAGCUUAAAGAAAAAGAGAGAUAGAACCUCAUAAUCUGAUUUUUUUAAGUAUCUAAAAACAAACAAACAAAAAGCUAACAUUACAUUACAGCUAACAUUAUAGUUUAAUGUGAGAAGUUAAAUGCUUUCCCAUCAAGUACAGGGAAAGGACAAAUAUAAUUACUCUCAUAUCACAUCUAAUCAACAUGGUACUGAUACAGGAGUUUUAGCUAUGCAAAAAGAAAAAAGUAUAAAAGUUGUAAAGAGAAAAACAAAACUGCCUUUCUUUGCAGAAAAUGACUGUGUAUAUAGAAAAUCCAAAGGAAUGGGCAAAUACAUUAUUAGAGUUCAUAAGUGAAAUUAGACAUAUAAUAGGAUAAAGUUCAAUAAAAAUCAAUUAUAUGUCUAAACACUAGCAGUAAUGAAAUUAAAACUAAAUUUUAAAAUAAUAUAAUUUAUAAUAGCAUCAUAGGUAUCAGAAACCGAGGUAUAAAUCUAAUUAAGGAAGCACAAACCUUUAAUCUGAAAAUUUUAAAACAUUAUAGAAGGAAAUUAAAGAAUAACUAC
rnacentral:lncRNA from 10 species